CGAACAAGAGAGAAGGGGUUUUGCCACCGAUGAACAUGAGGGAUCUUGACAUGUCUAUAGAAGAAGGACUCGCCGCUAGUUGGAGGAAAGCCAACUCCUUGGAAAAGAAGAACUUCGACGUCGUUGCCUCCUCUUUGGUUGCACUGCCAAUCUAGGUGAUCCUAAGGAUACUUUGGAAGGUUGUGAAGAAAAUUGAAGAUCGAUUCAAUUUUUUAGUAAUACUCUGCGAGAGGAAGGAUACAAGGGUUAGAGAAACUGAAGGUAGGACUCAUUCAUUCUGCUGCGUAUAAUAAAUGGCCUCUGCCAAUGUCUUCGACAUCUAUAGCACUCAGGACGAGGAAGAAGUCCCCCUGGUUCGUAAGAGGAAGUCGUCCAGGCGACAUGUUGGGGAGUCCAGCCAAAUGCCCUCGGCUAAGAAGAACCGAGCCUCGGGUCCUCCGGCAGAGGGGCCUCCUGCCCAAGAUACCAAACAACAUCCUCUCGAACAGGAGGUUCCAUCUUCAAAUGCUCCAGCUGCCAAAACUCCAUCACCCCUAGCCCCUAUCGAACAAACACAACAGGCUGGGGGGGCUUCUACUAGGACGGAACUGUCACACCGUGUUCUGAGAUCUGCCAAAGACCUCCUGGCCAAAAUCCUCAAACAUGACCGCUGCAAAAAGGCCAUGGCAGGGACAGAGAAAAUGGGGGUCAAUCAGAUCAUCAACAGGGCCCUGAACGAGACUGCCAGUGCCAUGCUGACUUUAACAACUGCCCGCCUGCGUUCGGGUGCCAGCAUCGAGCAGUCCCGUGCUUGGGAGUUGAAGUUGAUGGAGGAACUUCAAGCCGCAGAGGUAAGGCAUGCAGGGAGCUGGAAGUGGUGACCCAGUAGAAGAACUCUUUGGCUGCGGAUCUGGUAGAGAAACAGGCCUCUCUGGAAAGUGCUAGAAAACAUAGAGAGGAAUACCAGGAGGCCAGCUGAAUCCACUGGCGCGAUGUCAAAAGGCUCCAGGGGGAGAAUCUUGAGAAGGACAAGAGCAUUGCCAGCUUGAAGAGCCAAGUGGAGCAAUUAAAGCUCACAAAUGCCAAAGACCUGGAAAGGUACAAGAACGCGACACUUCGAUGCUUCUAUGAUUUCUGGAAGCACAACCAAAGUGCCAACUUCAACUACCUUCCAAAGAAUGCCAGGAAAGCUGAGCUGGCUCGCUACGCUGCUCGUCUGGCUGCCGAAGAAAGGGCCAGAGUUCCUGCCUCCCCUGAGAUUUCGCUGGCCACGGGGAUGGAUGGGGGAAGCUGUAGAAGACACAGUUAACCAAGAUGUUCCCCAAGAUCCUCCUGCUGCUCCUUAGCUUGUUUUUUACUUAUUUUAUUUUUCUUACAUGACCCACGGGUCAUGGUGUUAAGUCAAUAUUUAUUUUCUUAUUGCUGCAUGGGCAGCUUUUCCUUUUAAACUUAACAUUUACAUUUGAGCAGUACUGCUCGCGGUGUAAAAGAAUUCUUUUGAUAUUAUAAUAUUUUUGCUUUAUUAUAA